UACGUAGGUGGCGAGCGUUGUCCGGAUUUACUGGGCGUAAAGGGAGCGUAGGCGGACUUUUAAGUGAGAUGUGAAAUACCCGGGCUCAACUUGGGUGCUGCAUUUCAAACUGGAAGUCUAGAGUGCAGGAGAGGAGAACGGAAUUCCUAGUGUAGCGGUGAAAUGCGUAGAGAUUAGGAAGAACACCAGUGGCGAAGGCGAUUCUCUGGACUGUAACUGACGCUGAGGCUCGAAAGCGUGGGGAGGCAAACAGGACUAGAUACCCUGGUA
rnacentral:rRNA from 1 species